rnacentral:pre_miRNA from 1 species
GAACUACUCCCUUUGUUUCAUAUUACUCGUCGCUGAUUUAAUACAAAAUUGUAUUAAAUCAGCAUAUUACUCGUUGCUGAUUUAAUAUAAAGUUAUACUAAAUCAGCGACGAGUAACAUGGAACGAAGGGAGUACUGC